ensembl:lncRNA
CUCUUCCUUCUUUAGAAAGCAUCGCUGAGCAUUUGUUGUUCCCUAGUGUUGAGGGAAGCGUCUGGUAGCAUUUCAGUUAACGGAAUUUGAGGCACUCUCCUUUCCGUCCGUUUGUUAGAAUCUUGGUUUUAACCGUAAAAUUGCAGCCGUUGAGAGGGCUUGGGUUCUAGCUAGUACGCAGUAGCUACGGUAAGUGACUGGAGACAAAUGCAGACGAGCGCGGAGCUCCAGGCAGCCUCUGGGCCCAGGAUAGCACCUGCGUACACUGUUCCCUAAAUCGGAGGCACUUAGCCUUUCGGGAAACAGAGUCCGGGUAACUUUUGGGGAACAGAGGCCAUCCUUUUUUUUUGAUCCCAUUAUAUAUCCUUUUUUUGAUAGGUGUAACACUGCUUUGCUGUUUUAGUAGGUGCUUAGGAUUUACAGUGUGCAAUGUUAACUUUAUCAUAUUUCAUCUUCAAGUACUAUGUAGAUCAUUCCGCCUACAAUAUAAGAAGCUUACAAUAGGAUAUUUCCAUUUCUCCCCCAACCUUGGUUUUCAUACUGUUGUUGCAUAUGAACUUUUACAGAUGUUCUCAAUGCCACAACUAUCCCCAAUUUGCUGUCUUUUUACCUCUGCCUGCAGGACUUUCUUUAACAUUUCUAGUUGGUGACGGCAGCAAAGUCCAGAGGUAAAGAGGAAACUGUAUGUCCUUAGAUGGGGAUGGAUUCAUUUGGAGAAGUUUCAACUUGGCGAGUAAGUUUAUUUGCUCAAGUUGCUUUGCGUUGCAAAUGAUUUUCUGAGAAUUUGUCUUUAAGGAAAAAUAAUCUAUGUCUAAUGUGGAUAGGGUUGAAUAUGUGUGUGUCUUACUUUGCUGGUCAGGAGCACAAUGAGCAAGGAGCUGGCCCCUGGGUUGGCUCCCAGGAAAAACAGGUGGGCCGCCUCUAGCUUGGGAUCCCGUCAGUUCUGUGCAGCAGUCCUGAGGACCGGACCAGCACGGAGAGUACAAGGCUGCCCAGAGCCCUUGUGAAGGUGCCUCCCACCAGAGGAUGAAGACAGGCCCCCUGUGCAGAAGCGGAGGAUGACUCCUGUCCCUGCCAGGCAAUGCAGAGUGAAGAAGUUUGGUAAAUAGUCACAGCCCCUGAGGCGGGUAGAAAUCCAUUUGAACAGCACACAAGCAAUUCAGACUGACAUAUAAGAAGGUCAGAAGACAGUUCUCCUGCCUACUCUGCCAUGGACUAUUUCCCCUCUGCAGUGUCUCUCUGCCAUGGUGCCCUGCCUUGGAGCCAGCUGAUAAUAGAUUGAAACCUCUGCAAACUGUGAGCCAGAAUAAACCUUUCCUCUUUUUAACCUGGGGGUGUUGAGUAUUUUGCCCCAGCAAUAAAAAAUAAGUAAGACAACCAGACCUCCAACUUCCACCUCAAUGGCAGUUUGAAUUAGAAAUGUAAAAUUUAGAACCAAAAUUCUGGUUGCUCAUUGUCCCUCCAUGGACUCCCCAGCUCCGGGAGGAAGUACGAUGUGCUGAUUAUCUUUGGCUUCUUCUGGAAGAGUCUGGAAUCUUCUAGAUUAUCCAAACAAGAGGCUUCUCUGAUCCAUCCCUGGACUGUGAUUGAUGUCAGCUUGGUCUUUGUGCUGAAAUAGCUCACCUUCCCCAGGCCCAGAGAUCCGGAAGGUGGGGAGAGAGACCCUGUCAGCCUUCAUGGGGCCAUUUUUCUAGAUGAGAAUAUUGACACAUUAAGUCACUAGCAGCUACAGUUUCAGUCAACUUACAAAUCCACCGUCAUCUCUUUUUUUUUGGUACUGGGGAUCGAACUCAGGACCUUGUGUUUGUGAGGCAGGUGGCGGCACCACUGAGCUAGAUCCCCAGCCCACCGACCCCUUUAUUCUUAACUGCAGUCCUGAGCCCUCAUUUCCAGUUGUGGUUCACAGACAUUUUGCACCUCACUCCAAAACUCACUCAGGAAGCUUUAGGUUAGACCCAGCUUCCUGCUUUAUAAGAAAGACUGACUUACGGUGAUUAUGCCUGGGGACUAGAGUACCUUGGGAGAAGAUGGAGUGUGUUGUGUGCACUCACACUUUUGCUUUUUCCCUUACUUCACAUCUGCACUUCUUACCACACUGCAAACAUAACUAAACAUCAUGACCAUGAAACCACAUACUCAAUCCCCAAUCCCAUUUCCUUAUGUGUCACUAACAUAUCUGUCCCUAAAUUUGGCUGAUUGCACACAACUUAAGUCUUUGCCUCCUACUCUGUGCAAACCCAUCCGGUAAUGUGUCAAUGGCAGGGUGCCACCCUGAAGUGCAUAUUUGUAAAUGUGCCAUCAUACUGACAAAUACCUGUGACCCUAAAUUUGAAGAUGGAUAGUUAAUUAUUCAGGGGGAGAAAUUCCUCCAGAAGCAGUGGCACAGGGGACAGGAAGAUCUCCCAGGUGGGCUCAGGUCAUAAGCACUGUGGAUAUGAACUAGGAUGAACACAUAGCAAUAAUUCUCUUCCAUUUCUGAAUAUGCAGCCUGUUCCAUUUGAUACCUCCUUGUUCCACAUUCACUUUGUUGUAACUAAAUCCUGACAAACAGUAGAAAUACAACUUUUAGGGAGAAAUGGAAAUUUAUGCCUAGUGGGUAUUCACUGGGGACAAAAAUCAG